rnacentral:rRNA from 1 species
UACGGGGGGGGCAAGCGUUGUUCGGAAUUACUGGGCGUAAAGGGCUCGUAGGCGGCCAACUAAGUCAGACGUGAAAUCCCCAGGCUCAACCUGGGAACUGCGUCUGAUACUGGAUGGCUUGAAUCCGGGAGAGGGAUGCAGAAUUCCAGGUGUAGCGGUGAAAUGCGUAGAUAUCUGGAGGAACACCGGUGGCGAAGGCGGCGUCCUGGACCAACACUGACACUGAGGAGCGAAAGCCAGGGGAGCAAACGGG